AAGCCGCUUCCCUUCACUCCAGACUUGAGCGUAGCUGCGCAAGGGUUGAAUCUCUGCUGCUACGAUUGUCUCCAAGAGAAACUCUUCUGUUUUUUUCCCCCACCUUUUCAGGGUUGGAAAACACGGAAUUUGCUGGUACAAUAAAGUGCUCACUUGAAGUUUAAGGGUCUCCGUGAAGGUAAUUUAAAUCCAAGCUUUGUUCGGCUCUGGGAUAAUUGUGCGGGAUCUGCGGCGGAUACGCCUGCGGACAUAGCAGCUUAAACAAUCCGGGUGGAUGGUUUUAAAUGGUGAACAGUCGUAGUGCAAAAUUCCCUGGACGCAUCUAGGAGCUACAGAACGUCUCUUCUGUUAACAAACAGAGGGACAAUGUUGUGGGACAAACUGUCCUGGCUGCUGGCCCUCUUGGCCGUAUCAUCAGGAGGGCUGCCACCUUCCAACGAGCCUCUGUCUGCUCCCAGAAUCUUCGUGUCCUUUAAAGGUGGAGAACUUGAGGUUUUCCU